GCCUGCAUUGCUUGGACCUUUUUAUUCAGAUGUCCAAUUCUUAUUUUCUGAUGUGUUGUGUGAAGGUUUAUGGCAAGGAGAGGAGAAGUGGUCGUUCGGGUUCUGCGAGAAUGGCAUGUGUGCAGUUUUGAUUGAUACUUUAUGAAAGAAUAUGUUGGCGGACAUGGCAAUACAGUUUCAUAUCGAAAACCACUCCAAUUGAAGUAUCUGUGGUUCAUGUACACUAUUGUUUGAUAAAUUGGUGGCAAAUAGCUGUGUGAGCUUCAU